GUCCGCACGGGAUAAUAUAUUAUCCCGUGCGGUUGCGUUAUAAUAACCGCACAGGAUAUCUAUUAUCCCGUGCGGCC
rnacentral:pre_miRNA from 11 species